AGUGAACGCUGGCGGUAGGCCUAACACAUGCAAGUCGAACGGCAGCACAGUAAGAGCUUGCCCUUACGGGUGGCGAGUGGCGGACGGGUGAGGAAUACAUCGGAAUCUACUUUUUCGUGGGGGAUAACGUAGGGAAACUUACGCUAAUACCGCAUACGACCUACGGGUGAAAGCAGGGGAUCUUCGGACCUUGCGCGAUUGAAUGAGCCGAUGUCGGAUUAGCUAGUUGGCGGGGUAAAGGCCCACCAAGGCGACGAUCCGUAGCUGGUCUGAGAGGAUGAUCAGCCACACUGGAACUGAGACACGGUCCAGACUCCUACGGGAGGCAGCAGUGGGGAAUAUUGGACAAUGGGCGCAAGCCUGAUCCAGCCAUACCGCGUGGGUGAAGAAGGCCUUCGGGUUGUAAAGCCCUUUUGCUGGGAAAGAAAAGCAGCAGGUUAAUACCCCGCUGUUCUGACGGUACCCAAAGAAUAAGCACCGGCUAACUUCGUG
rnacentral:rRNA from 1 species